rnacentral:misc_RNA from 1 species
GCAAGAUCCCAUUCUUUGUUGUAAAAUUUUCCGAAACCAUCAAAUAUAUAGGCUCUUUGUCUCACCAUGCCUGGAAAGCGGGAUCGUCGAAAGGGGUUACGCAUAAGAGGAAUGUCCCCAGAGGGUUCUCUGUCCAUCUCCUCAGCAUCCCCACCUCCCAUUGAAGAUUCCCUAGCUAGAUCCAUUACUUUUACAGCCCAAUCAACAUGCAAUCCUAAAAUAAACACAUUCGCCAACCAACUCAGAAGGAGGAGUAUAAUACAAGCAAAUAAAACAGAUGGUUUACCUCGUUGAAAAGGUUAAAAAUCGGCAAGACAACGCCUGAAAUAAGAAAACCCAGAUCAAGAAAUUAGCCAAAACCAGAAAAGAUCAUCCACAGAGACAAGAUAAUAAAUACCCAGAAUUCCUCUAAUGGCAUGCGUUGAUAAUAAAGACUGGCGGGUUAACGACCAGACAGGAUUGAACUCUUGAAAGAAAAUAAAAAAUUGGCAAGGUUUGUUCAGAAUAUUUUAAAAAACAGAAAUUGUCCGGAGGAAACGAAGAUACAACGUGUUGGUCAAUUUCUGAGAAACCUCCAAGAAAACAUUUCCCCCACAAAAAAUAAUCUGCCAAAGGUUUUACUUACCCAUAAGGGUGUAAAACAAUGACAUGUGCUUGAAGGUGUAUGACAAUAGGUAAUAUAAUAAGAUAUCUUUAGAUUCUGCCAUGAAAUUUGGAGGUGCAGGUGAUAAGAGUUACAGCAGGCUACAGGAUUGGUGUUUGUUUGCUGCAACAAUUUAGGACUGCAGCUUAAAAUAGGCACCUUUUUUCUGAUGGCGGAUGCAAUGAGAAGUCUUUUUUU